CGCCAGCUCCCAUGUCCCUUCUCCGGGCUGCUGCAAGUUCAGCCGCACGGCUGCCGUUCCUGAGAUGGACGCUCCAUCGGAACAGCCACGCAGAAGCUAAAAAAGUCUGUGGUGUUUCCAUCAAAAGCACUCGGCGAGAGAAAACACACGAGCGGGGCUUAUAAAAUUACCACAACACUCAGCUAAAAAUACCAAGCGGGAUGUUCUUGACUUGUGAUUGUGUGUGUUACUAACAACAAGGAUACAAAAAUCCUCUCUGAUCCCAUUAUCAGUUCACCUUACUUUCUCCCGUUACGUUUCUGGACGUUUUCGGCAAAAAUGAUGAGCGACGACAGGUAUGCCGCCAUUGUGCUGGAAGGACAGACGGAGUCACUUACAAGGUGUCGUUUUACGGAGAACAGGGUCUCCAGACACGUUCAUAGCGCCGUACCAGUGUCAGCGUCCUGGUUUUGAUAUUGUACUAUCGUCACGUAAGAAGCUAUCACCGAGGGACGCCGGGCAAAGGAUAGCCGGGAUCUUUCGGUGGUAUUUUUGCAACUUCCUUUGAGUCUACGAUUAUUACAAAGUGAAAGUUUUACAAGCCUCAUCUCCAAGGUAUCAUCUCAAACCACUUCCCUUUUAACCAUCGGCCACUGUGUGGUGGGCCAAGCACUGAAACUCGGCAAACAGACAAGGAUUCCAAUCCUAGACCCCCUACUGCCAGGUCCCCCUACGACCUGGAAACAUCCAAACGCAGCGCCUCCGUUUCCUCACCUUUUCAACGGAGGUGAUAUUAGGACCUACCUCACAGGCUUCUUUUGAGAACUAAAUAACGUAGGAUGUCGAGGGCUCGUGGAAAGCACUCAAUAAAUAUCGGCUGGUAUUUUUACUGUCAGUCUGCCUAAUUAUUUCUAAGAGCUCUAAGCUAUUAAUUAAUUUUGCUGGCAUUCAAGCACACACGAAGCGUCAGGUACAGGCCACACGCGGCCACGGACACGGAGUCCAGCUACGCCCCCGGCUCUGGCCUCUGCCCCUUUGGAUUUUUCAGUUCUGUAGCGAAUAUGGUGUUUAAAGAAGCAAUUACAAGCAAGAUGGACAUUAUGAAAGUGGGUAGGAGGAGGCCUCGAGAGGGAACUAACUCAGGAAUGAGAGGCACUUUCUGCAGUCCAGGUUGAAACGGGAGUUUUCUCUCUGCCACGUUCCUCGGAGUUAACAGGGUGUUUACACUGCAGUCCUCACUUGCAACCACUCCUUCACCAACGGAGAUGCAAGUGAGAAUAACUUUUCACGGAAGUUAUUUUGUGUAGAGGCAGAAGGUUAAGGAUUCUUCCUUUUUCAUUGUUUG
rnacentral:lncRNA from 1 species